CCUUCUCCUUUUUCCAUGUUCUCUUUUCCUUUCUCUUCUUCUUUUCUUUUCUUUACCAUUUUACGGUUACACCCUUUUUUUCUCAUUCCUUUUUAUUUCAUUUUUUAUCUUCUAUUUCGUUUUCCUUUUUAUUAGUUCAAUUCCUAUUUUGCAUUAUUCUUUUGUUUUAUUUAUUAUUAUCGAUUAUUAUAUUAUUUUCUUUGAUUUUUAGUUUUAUUUUUAAUUUAUUAUUAGUGAUUACAAUAUAUCUAUUUCAUAUUAUUUUAUACUUUAAUUUUCCUUCGGAUACUAAAUUGUUUUGUUUAGGUGUAUUCUAUUAUUCUAUGAAUUCAUGCAAUUUGUUCCAUGUGCAUAACUCUUUUGUUAUUGAAGUUUAUAUAAAUUGUUCUAGAUUUAUAAAUUUUUGUUGUGUGAGUUUGUAUAAUUUGUUUAUACAUUUUUAUU
rnacentral:lncRNA from 1 species